rnacentral:rRNA from 1 species
CCCGCCGGCGACCGGCGCACGGGUGAGUAACACGUAUGAAACCUGCCCGUAGCAGGGGGAUAAGCGGAAGAAAUUCCGUCUAAUACCGCGUAACAACCCAUGGAGGCAUCUCUGUGGGUUUAAAGGAAGCGAUUCCGGCUACGGAGUGGUCAUGCGUCGCAUUAGCUUGUUGGCGGGGUAACGGCCCACCAAGGCGACGAUGCGUAGGGGUUCUGAGAGGAAGGUCCCCCACACUGGUACUGAGACACGGACCAGACUCCUACGGGAGGCAGCAG